rnacentral:miRNA from 1 species
GAGAAAGGUGGUGGGGCUGGAGGGAUGCAACUGCCCCUUUAGGGACACUGACCCAGCCUCUGUGCCCCCAG